UGUCCAGGGAUGGGAAUCGAACCCACAGUGUUCAGCUUACCGGGCAGAUGCCAUGUCCCAUUCCCAUCCCUGGAC